rnacentral:misc_RNA from 1 species
CAACCCUCACCCCUUGCGAUGUCAAAGUCGCUAGAGGUGGAUUUGGACCGUGCCGCGCUUAGCGGCUCGUCUUGAAAUGCAUUAGCUUGCGCUUUUUAGAGUGCUCGGCACCGGUGUGAUAAUUAUCUGCGCCAACGCCUUAGGCCUCUUCAGUAGUGCUGCUUACAGUCGUCCGACGCGGACAAUAUAACCAAG